AGAGUUUGAUCAUGGCUCAGAUUGAACGCUGGCGGCAGGCCUAACACAUGCAAGUCGAGCGGUAGCACAGAGAGCUUGCUCUCGGGUGACGAGCGGCGGACGGGUGAGUAAUGUCUGGGAAACUGCCUGAUGGAGGGGGAUAACUACUGGAAACGGUAGCUAAUACCGCAUAACGUCGCAAGACCAAAGUGGGGGACCUUCGGGCCUCAUGCCAUCAGAUGUGCCCAGAUGGGAUUAGCUAGUAGGUGGGGUAACGGCUCACCUAGGCGACGAUCCCUAGCUGGUCUGAGAGGAUGACCAGCCACACUGGAACUGAGACACGGUCCAGACUCCUACGGGAGGCAGCAGUGGGGAAUAUUGCACAAUGGGCGCAAGCCUGAUGCAGCCAUGCCGCGUGUGUGAAGAAGGCCUUCGGGUUGUAAAGCACUUUCAGCGGGGAGGAAGGCGAUAAGGUUAAUAACCUUGUCGAUUGACGUUACCCGCAGAAGAAGCACCGGCUAACUCCGUGCCAGCAGCCGCGGUAAUACGGAGGGUGCAAGCGUUAAUCGGAAUUACUGGGCGUAAAGCGCACGCAGGCGGUCUGUCAAGUCGGAUGUGAAAUCCCCGGGCUCAACCUGGGAACUGCAUUCGAAACUGGCAGGCUAGAGUCUUGUAGAGGGGGUAGAAUUCCAGGUGUAGCGGUGAAAUGCGUAGAGAUCUGGAGGAAUACCGGUGGCGAAGGCGGCCCCCUGGACAAAGACUGACGCUCAGGUGCGAAAGCGUGGGGAGCAAACAGGAUUAGAUACCCUGGUAGUCCACGCCGUAAACGAUGUCGAUUUGGAGGUUGUGCCCUUGAGGCGUGGCUUCCGGAGCUAACGCGUUAAAUCGACCGCCUGGGGAGUACGGCCGCAAGGUUAAAACUCAAAUGAAUUGACGGGGGCCCGCACAAGCGGUGGAGCAUGUGGUUUAAUUCGAUGCAACGCGAAGAACCUUACCUGGUCUUGACAUCCACAGAACUUAGCAGAGAUGCUUUGGUGCCUUCGGGAACUGUGAGACAGGUGCUGCAUGGCUGUCGUCAGCUCGUGUUGUGAAAUGUUGGGUUAAGUCCCGCAACGAGCGCAACCCUUAUCCUUUGUUGCCAGCGGUUAGGCCGGGAACUCAAAGGAGACUGCCAGUGAUAAACUGGAGGAAGGUGGGGAUGACGUCAAGUCAUCAUGGCCCUUACGACCAGGGCUACACACGUGCUACAAUGGCAUAUACAAAGAGAAGCGACCUCGCGAGAGCAAGCGGACCUCAUAAAGUAUGUCGUAGUCCGGAUUGGAGUCUGCAACUCGACUCCAUGAAGUCGGAAUCGCUAGUAAUCGUAGAUCAGAAUGCUACGGUGAAUACGUUCCCGGGCCUUGUACACACCGCCCGUCACACCAUGGGAGUGGGUUGCAAAAGAAGUAGGUAGCUUAACCUUCGGGAGGGCGCUUACCACUUUGUGAUUCAUGACUGGGGUGAAGUCGUAACAAGGUAACCGUAGGGGAACCUGCGGUUGGAUCACCU
rnacentral:rRNA from 1 species